GGCGAGUUUUCUAUCAUAAGUUAGGUUAUAUAUCGUAUGCAUCAAAUCAUACAAUUAUUUAUAAGCUAGUUUUUUAAGGAAAAAACACUUAAAUUUAGUGAAUUUGCAGUGCGAAAUCUUAAAAAACCACAGACGAACACUUGGCACAAACGAAAGUUACGUGUAAACGUCGUGGCUUUUGUUUAAUUAUUUUGAAAAAUAAUAAAAAUAAAAAAAAUAAAAAUAAAAAAAAAACUUUGGCAACUUAAACCAAUCCCAAAACACAAGAAACAACAACAGCAACUAGUGUAAAAUUCAAAGUGUUAACAAGAAGCGACAAAAACCCAAAACAGACACCGACAACAAUUUCAAGUCCACAAGUGCAACAUAAACAGCAGCAAAAUUACGUCAAUUAUUGAAAACCUACCCGGCGCAAUAGCUCACAAUCACCAAAACAACAUCAUGGAAGAAGACGAGAGGGGCAAACUGUUUGUUGGCGGCCUGUCCUGGGAGACAACGCAGGAGAAUCUCUCGCGCUACUUUUGCCGCUUCGGCGACAUUAUUGAUUGUGUCGUUAUGAAGAAUAACGAGAGCGGCAGAUCACGUGGAUUCGGCUUUGUCACCUUCGCCGAUCCCGCUAACGUCAACCAUGUGCUGCAGAGUGGACCGCAUACGCUUGACGGUCGUACCAUCGACCCGAAGCCCUGCAAUCCCCGUACGCUGCAGAAGCCGAAAAAGGGCGGCGGCUACAAGGUGUUCCUCGGCGGUUUGCCAUCGAACGUGACGGAGACCGAUCUGCGCACCUUCUUUGGUCGCUACGGCAAGGUCACCGAGGUGGUCAUCAUGUACGACCAGGAGAAGAAGAAAUCACGUGGAUUUGGUUUCUUGUCCUUUGAGGAGGAGUCCUCUGUGGAGCAUGUCACCAACGAGCGUUACAUUAAUCUAAAUGGCAAGCAGGUGGAAAUUAAGAAAGCGGAGCCACGCGAUGGUUCCGGAGGACAGAACUCGAACAACAGUGCCGUGGGUGGUGCCUAUGGUAAACUGGGUAACGAGUGCAGCCACUGGGGACCGCAUCAUGCGCCCAUUAACAUGAUGCAAGGCCAGAACGGUCAGAUGGGUGGCCCACCAUUGAAUAUGCCAAUUGGUGCACCAAACAUGAUGCCCGGUUAUCAGGGCUGGGGCACAUCGCCUCAGCAGCAGGGCUAUGGUUAUGGCAAUAGCGGUCCGGGCUCGUAUCAGGGCUGGGGCGCACCACCUGGCCCCCAAGGACCACCACCGCAAUGGUCGAACUAUGCUGGACCACAGCAGACCCAGGGAUAUGGCGGCUACGAUAUGUACAACUCGACUUCGACCGGAGCCCCAUCGGGACCUUCGGGCGGCGGCAGCUGGAACACGUGGAAUAUGCCACCAAAUUCAGCUGGGCCAACUGGGGCACCGGGUGCUGGCGCUGGCACCGCCACGGACAUGUAUUCGCGUGCCCAGACCUGGGCAGCUGGCGGACCAUCGACCACCGGACCCGUGGGCGGCAUGCCGCGCACUGGACCAGGCAACUCGGCCUCCAAAUCGGGCUCCGAGUACGAUUAUGGCGGCUAUGGAUCCGGCUACGAUUACGAUUAUAGCAAUUAUGUUAAGCAGGAGGGCGCCUCCAACUACGGCGCCGGCCCGCGGUCAGCGUACGGCAACGACAGCUCUACACAGCCUCCGUAUGCCGCCUCGCAGGCCGUCUAAAAAGCCAGAUCGUGCGUGUUGUCGUCUCGUGUCAUCCCGCGUGGCCCCAUGAGCAGGCAGCAAGCGAGCAACAACAACAAUAACAACAACAGCAGCAGCAGCAACAGCAGUUAUGCAAGCAAAAUGCUGCUGUACAACAACAACAACGUAUCAGGCUUAACGUAGACAUUUAACGGUUAUAUAUGCACAUGCAUGCAUACAUGUGUAUAUUUAUGAAUAUAUAUAUAUGUGCGUGUGUUUGUAAAACAUGCAAGAACAAGCAGAAAGCGCAGACAACAACAAGAAAACAACCAAUUGAAUGAAGGCAAAUCGUGUUGGUCAAAAAAUGCAGUUAAACAACAAAAAUAGCAAAAAAAAAAAAAAAAA